UAAAACUAAAAAUUUAAUCUCAAUCUGUCCAUACUCUCUCUCUCUCUCCACUCUCUUUCUCUCUCUUCUCUCUCAGCUCUCUGCCGCCCGUCGCCGCCCCCUGAUUCUCGGCGAGCAGCGGUUACAAGGCUGCCACCACCGCGAUUCUCGGCCGCCUAAGGUCGAGCAGUCCAUCGCCGGAAAAAAUGGCCUCUCUUACCAAACUCUCUCUUUCUCAUGCUCGAUCUCCAAUUCAGAUCUAAGCUCCGCUAGCCCCUCCACGCAGCGACAGAGCUGGUCCGCCACCGGGUCACGCCGCCUUCCACCACCUUCGCCCGGUUCCGUCCCCACGAGCAGAGCUCUGAUACAAGCUUCAACGCCGACUUCUUCGCCUGCGACGAGCUCUGAAAAUCGAUUCCCCUCUCUCCACCCGCAUCGCCCGUUCUUUCAUUAACUUCCUCAACUCCAGUAAUCUAUGAAAAUCGGUUCCUUGAGAGUUGUUUUCAGCUACAGAUCUAGAAAUUUGGAGGUUACUGCUAUAAUUGUUGCGACUUGAGAUUCCACUCAAUAAUCUCCAAUAAGGCUAUCAGGUGCUAUAAUUGUGUGAUGGUUAAUUGAACUUUGGCUUCUGUUUUCUUUAUGGAGUUAAAAAUUGAUAAUGAGAUUCAUUAGUGCUCGAUUGUGGUAUUUAGGAAAAUUC
rnacentral:lncRNA from 1 species